GAUUUGCAGAAUGAGUGGUCCCAUUCCAUAGUUUGUUUGCCUUGAUUUAUCAGCGGGAGGCAGAAAAGCUGUGCAUUUUGCUCUAGGAGAAUAUAUACAAGUUUGCAUUUCAUAUCAGAAAGAAAGGCAUUUCAAACCUGACAAAGGACCUUCUCUCUCUUCGAUGAAAGGUCUACGUCCA